UUCUCCCGCGCCCCUGGUGGUGGCGCUGUGCUCCCCACCCCCCUGCUGACGGCGUCGCGGCCGUGGAGAUGCUUGGAGAGAUGCGCAUUUGACAUCGUGAACGUGGUGAAGAUGGCCUGAACGUUGGCCUAGAAGUGUAUUGACAGCCGCCGGAAACUGCAGGAGAAUCAAGUGCUACCACCACCUUCAACGGUGAAAAAUUCUGCAGUAGCAGACAUUGCUGCUUUCAUUGAAAAGGCAAGCGAAGAACGGAGGACAAGCAGCGCAUGUCCAAGUCUACACAAAUCAACGUCAGCAUCAACGGUAAUGGGACUCAUUAAUCGCCAAACAAGAGGUGGUUUGGUGUUCCUGAAGCCCAAGUUUUUUGGUGUCCUGGUUAACGUAAAAAAGGUCGUUGACAUCGCAGUACCAUAUAUUGGCAAGGAUAAUGCGUGCAAAAAGCUGGCAGCUUUGAUUUGUCUGUACUUAGGGAGCUGCCCUCUUUUUACUUGCCAGGCAAACGAAGAGCCUACAUCAGUGACUUCUUCAAUAGUAGCAAGCAAAUUUAUAAAGCCCCUAUUGUCAAACAUUGGCGCAGCUGUUAGAGACACAGCGGUUAACCGCAAACAAA